UCACUUCCUCCCUGGCGGCCUGCGUGGUCCGGGCGCCGGGUCGUUAUGGCAACGCUGCCGCGCGCCCGGGGGCGCUAGUCCCGGGCCGGGUUUUCGGUGCAGGUGUCCGCCGGCGUGAGGGCGCGAGGGCGCGGGAGACCGCGGCUGGGAGGGACCGGCGGGCUCUGGGGGGGGGUCCGAGAGGCGCGCGGCGCCGCGUCUGCCCGCUCGCGGCCGGCCGGGGCGCGCGCCUAAGACCGAGACGCGGAGCUGCGCAGUUAGAACACACGGAUGAAAGCACAGAGCUGACGUCCAGGUGUCCCGUCUGCAGGGAAGCCAGCAAGCACAGGUUCAGACGGCAAAUCUAAAAUGAGCCCACAAUGAUUAUGUCAUAAACGCAGAACAUACCACAAAAAAAUCAAGACGGACACAGAAAC